AUGCCGCGGAAACGGCGCACGGAAGCGCCUCCCCGCGGGGGCAAGAAGCGGAAGCCGGAGAAGGCGGCCGCAAUCCCUCACCAGAUCGCCCGUACCGGCAGCUGCGAUACGGAGCCUCCGUUGGUGUACCUGGUGGUCGGCCAUGACGUCACUCGCCCCGCCUACUCCAUAGUCAAGGUGAACCCCUUCUUCCCUCGCCGCCGCGCCCCGGUACCGAUCCCAGGACAUCUCGCACGCCUUGAGUCCAAGCACUGCAUGUCCUUCGUCGCCGUGCGGUCGAGGCACGGCCCGUGGAUCGUCGGCGUCGGCGGCAACGCACCCAUUGACUAUGGCCCCGAGACCAUUGUCUUCGACACCAGGACGCACCAGGUGAUCCCGGGACCGAAGCUCUUGUCGACCAAGUUCCGGCCCAUCCUGCUACCGGUCGGCGAGAAGAUCUAUGCCCUGACACGUGAUCCUGCCAUCAAGGGGGAGAUUAAUUUCGUGCCCUGGUUCGAGGUCCUCGACCUCUCCCAGGCGCGAGUGGUCAGUGGCCGUCUCGUGGACUGCAAAUGGGAGCAACUGCCCCGGCCGCCCUGCUUCCCCUGGGAGCUCUCCCCAAGGCACUACAUCUUCCCGCCGGUGGUCUGGGUCAGGUCCUUUGCAGCCGUGAGCUCCUGCAUUCUGGUGUCGACGGAUGAGCAGAAGGGCACGCACAUGUUCAACUUGGAGACAGAGCAAUGGGCGAAACUGGAUGACAAGGAUCUGCCAUUCACCGGAGGCGCCGCCCCUCAUGGCCCCCUCUUCCUUGGCUUUUCAACUGCCGCCAAAAAGAUCACCGCUUAUAAGAUCACAGUCUGCGCCGCCGACUCACCAAGCCCAAGCAUCACAGCAGGGUGCCCAUCCUUGUCAAUCGUUGAGUUCCCGAUGGUGGAUGAGGCAGGGGAGGAGGUCGUUAGCAAUGGCAAAUUUGUUUCCCUCGGUAACCAUGGCUUCUGUUCGUUUAGAUGUCGCACCGAUGACCUUGUGCUGGGUACUCUUGAGCAUACACGGGAACUUGUCACCAUGAGAACAUACGGAACAGAGGACCUCUCACAAGACCACCUCAAGUCUAUUCGCCAUGUAGUGAUCUCCAACCAAUUGGAACAGGUUUACAGCGUCCGCGAUUCACUCCGGGGACUUUCUUGGCCAUCCUUGGUAGAUGUGAUAUCCCUGUGA
rnacentral:rRNA from 1 species